AUACACAAAGCCAAAAGGCUGCCUCGUAUCCUCGUUAUCUUCUCCAACUGAUUCCCAUGGGUUUCACAAGAUUUCUCUCCCCAAAAAAAGCUCUCUUUUUUUUUUCUCUCUCUCUCUCGACCGAACCCCCUUUUCCGUCACUCAACAAGGUACGAUCAUCGACUUCUUGCCGCUCGAUUCUUCAUCCGCUUGGGAACUCAUGCUUCGGUACGAUUACCCAAUAGGUCGGAACGUAAUAAAGUUCAAGUCUUUGUAUUGGGAAUCGAUCGUUGUUCAUAUUGGUGCUUUGUCUCCGACGGUGCUCAUGCUAGAAUUUGCAGAAUCCUGGGUUACUUUUCCCUUUUUCUGUGUUUUUAAUUCUUUGUAUGUCCGAUCAUCGGUAAAUUCUGUUCUCAAGGACGUGAGUAGGAGAUAAAGUUUUGAGCUUUUUUAAUUAUUAAUUCUUUUUUUCAAUUUUGUUCUUCUCCCUUUUGGGUUAGGAAGUUAGCAGCACCUCCUGAAUUUGACUGUACUGCUAAGUUGAACUACCCUCUAGAUAUAUGGCGUGGAGGGAUGGGGUGAUAAAUUGAAGGGCUCUGUUGUUGUUAUCAUUACUUCUUUUUCAUAUGUUAUGCUCGAUUUUAUCAGUUUUGGCUUUUGGGGCUAUGGUAGUAGGUCGAAUGGCUAAGGGUUACUUCAAGCAAGAGCAUGACCUUGGUGCGUUUUACUCUUCCUUGAGUAGCAAUUCGCUUUUGUGGUUAUUUUGUUGCUAAAGCUUCGAUUCUGAACGUGUUAAUUAAUAAAACUGUCCUGUAAACCCAGAGAAGAGUCGGGCGGAGGCUGCCAGGAUAAGGGAUAAGUACCCAGAUAGAAUUCCGGUGAGAAUGGAAGUUGGAUGAACUUCUUGUGAUUCAUGCUGAUGAACUUUUCUUUGGAAAAUUUAGCCUUAAGUUUUUUUUUCUUUGGGAACUUAAGUAUCUAGUUAUACUUUCUGGCAUACUUGAUUGUCUGCGUGCUUCAUCUCUCAUGCCCUGUAGGACAUGCGGAGUGGAAAGUCAAGCUCGCAGUAUUACUUUCUCCAGCACUUUAGAAUUUCAGUCUAACAAUAUGGGAAAUUAAGUGGUUUAUGAACUGGAGUAACUUGCAGAAGGAUCAAAGUGAUAUCAUUCCAACAUAAUGCAAUAAUGACCGAGAAAGCCAAAACGAAAAGGAAUAGACAUUUACAAGCUGUGAUUAUCCGUUGAUUGUCUCCGGGAUUUGAAAAGGACAGGCGAACUAGUCCAUUCUUUCUCGAAGAGAAUCUGAAGUGAAGCGUUCAUAUCUCUAUGGGAGGGAGCCUAUUUCGCAAGGCAAAUGUAGAUUGGAAAACUGCACAGGGAAGGCAGAAACCUCCGAAAACUGGACCUUAGAAUCCAAAUCUUGCCAAACCAAUAGCACGGUCCAGGCCCUCCCAAUCAGCCAUAAGGCAAGGUCUACAUAUAAGUAUGAUCAAAAGUCUUUUUUUUUUUGGACGAAAGUUCGGAGCGAUUACAUCAAGAACAUCAUCACAUAAUAAAUCUAAUAAGGCUGUCGGAGGAUAAAUUACCCAAUUAGUCGGAAGGAUAUUCUCUCUUUGGGCUUUCGCAAUCCAGUUCGCUUGCUUGUUGGCCUCUCUACUACAAUGGGCCAAAGAAAGGCCCUGAAAUGCUUUUAAAGCUUCCUUGAUCCGGUCCACAAUCGGUUGCAGCUUCCAACUGAAGUCUUCGGCGAAGAGAACUGCACGCACGAGGUUCUGACAAUCUGAGUGGAGUUGAAGUCUUCCAAUCGUGCGGUUAGAUAGAAAAGUUAGGGUUUCCAGCUGAGAGAGGGCUUCCACUUGUUCGGCCGAAUCAGCCUCCACCAUCUUCGAGAAUCCAUCAAGUAAGCGUCCCCGCGAGUCCCUGCACAGGCAGGCUAUGGCUGCUUUGUUUGCUGUGCGUCCCCUGUUUUCUUCCCGUCUCUUGGUUGCUCCUUCUAGGCCCGAUGUCCCUGCUUCAUCUUUGGUAAAGGAAGCGUCGAUGUUGACGCGGAGAGAGCCCUCUGGCGGGGGUUGCCACCGAAUCAGGGUCUGUUUCGGAUGAAGGGGUUUGUUCUCGAAGAUGUGCUGGUUUCGAUCUUGCCAUAUACACCACAAGCAAGUCGUCUUUCCAUAUUUGCCCUGUCCAGGGGCAUAACAACAAGGUGUGUUCGAUUGUCUCAGCUUCCUGAUGACACACAGGACAAAAUGGUGUAGGUUGUAGGUGAUGCUGCCCCACUAAUUGGUAUAAGUCACUGAAAUAUAAUGCAAUGGUGUCCUUCAAGGCCUGCUCCUCCUUCACCCAUUCAUCCGCACCAUUUUUGAGCAAGGUGAAGGCGCAGCCCUUGCUCUCCAGGUCCAUUAGCGAGUAUUGGAGCAGAAAGUCCCUGAAAGCUGUGAGCCUGUUGAUCUGGAUUCUGUUCUUGCCGAUGCUAUUCAGACUCAGGAGCUGCAUGGAUUGGUGUCUUGGACACAUACUCAACUUCUUCCGAUAUGAUCUCUUGUUUACCAUAAAAUAUCUUCCCAUACGGACCGAGUUCGCGAGCCUCCACUCUUAGCCAAUGUCCAUAUCUUCCCGGUAAGUUUGCUGCCAACCCUAUUUGUUCAUACGGAAUCUCACUGCAAAAAGUGGCAUAAUGCCCGAUCUUUCCACAUGUAUAGCAACAGUGCGGAAGACGUUCGUACUUAAAUUCAAUCCAUAGUCUCUUUCUCUCCAGAUUAAGUAAAACACCUGUUUUCAGAGGCAUUUCCAGGUUCAAUUUGACUCUUGUCUUCCCAAAUUUAUAAUUGCUAUUUCCUUUUGUUUCUAUUUUAACCUCGAUCACUUCUCCCAGUUUUGCUGCAAUGUUCCAAUGACAUCAUAAUUCACUCUUCCAUAUGGAAGGCCAUAGAAGUGCACCCAAAAACCACAGCAUGUGAAAUCAUAGCAUAAAUCAGGAGUGUCGGGAUCACAUUGCUUUAGCACGAGUAGGUUGCUAGAAAAGGACCAUGGUCCCUGAUCUAAUACUCUUUGUUUCUUAGCUUCGGAUUGAAAAUUGAAAGAAUAAUACCCCGGUUCAAGUACUGCACAGGUUGCCAAGGCUUUUACAGAGUGCUGCGACCCUCCUCUCUUCUUCAUUGUGGCAUGCCAUGUUCUAUCUCCAGAUUCAAGGGGCGUCGCACUACUAGCUCAAACUUUGGAAGUAGCAGGGGUAUCGAUUGAAGAGAGCUCAACGUAGACGGUCAACAGAAGAGGUUUCGAGUGAGGAUUAAGCAGAAUCAGAAUAUGGGUUUCGAGCAGAGGAUUUGGGGAAGAAAGGAAGGGAUUGAAGGAUUACAUGGGUUGAUGAUGAAGAUGGGAACUACCCAUACGGUAGGGGAGAACUCGCCAUUUGGGAGCGCAGUACGAUCAAAAGUCUAAAUGACCAAAAUUUGCAGCGUCACCUCCUCUGAAAACCCUCGUCCCUAAGUAGAAGCUCCAUCCUUGCGGCUCUCUUCUAGCAUCAACGACCUUGCCCUUACUUUCUCCUACUUUUCUCUCUUCAUCCCUUCCUCCCUGAGCUCCUCCAAUGUCUUCUUCCCACUUUUCUUUCCCUGCUCCUCCUCAACCCUCGACGGCCCUUCAUCCCCAAAUUUCUCCCCAUCAACGUGAUCACCCCGCUUCUCAAGAUACCAUGGCAAUUUAACUCCCUUUGCAGCAAUCCCAUUUCCCAAUCUAUAUUUCUCAUCCUCAGCGGUUACCACCUUCGGCACCUCCUCUUUCUUCAUCUUCUUCCUCUUGAAUCCAUCCCUUUCAUCUCCUGCCCCAUUUUUUGGUAGUUCAACUGGGUCGAAAAUCUUAAUUCCUUCAAAGAGAUUGAUAUGGCCAUACUUCUUGUCCGUCUCAGCUGGCUCCACGGGCUGACUAGUAGGAGCUUCCUCAGGUUGACUGGCGGGAGCAAAGCCAUGGGCAGCACGAAGCUUCUUGAGACAAACUCAGCAUUGCGCUUCCUCGCUUGCUCUCGCUUCAGCUG